rnacentral:rRNA from 1 species
UGGGGAAUAUUGGACAAUGGGCGAAAGCCUGAUCCAGCGACGCCGCGUGAGCGAUGAAGUAUUUCGGUAUGUAAAGCUCUAUCAGCAGGGAAGAAAACGACGGUACCUGACUAAGAAGCCCCGGCUAACUACGUGCCAGCAGCCGCGGUAAUACGUAGGGGGCAAGCGUUAUCCGGAUUUACUGGGUGUAAAGGGAGCGUAGACGGCAUGGCAAGUCUGAAGUGAAAUGCGGGGGCUCAACCCCUGAACUGCUUUGGAAACUGUCCGGCUUGAGUGAAGUAGAGGUAGGCGGAAUUCCCGGUGUAGCGGUGAAAUGCGUAGAGAUCGGGAGGAACACCAGUGGCGAAGGCGGCCUACUGGGCUUUAACUGACGCUGAGGCACGAAAGCAUGGGUAGCAAACAGGAUUAGAUACCCUGGUAGUCCAUGCCGUAAACGAUGAUUACUAGGUGUGGGGGGACUGACCCCUUCCGUGCCGCAGUUAACACAAUAAGUAAUCCACCUGGGGAGUACGGCCGCAAGGUUGAAACUCAAAGGAAUUGACGGGGGCCCGCACAAGCAGUGGAGUAUGUGGUUUAAUUCGAAGCAACGCGAAGAACCUUACCAGGUCUUGACAUCCUGAGAAUCCUUAAGAGAUUAGGGAGUGCCUUCGGGAACUCAGAGACAGGUGGUGCAUGGUUGUCGUCAGCUCGUGUCGUGAGAUGUUGGGUUAAGUCCCGCAACGAGCGCAACCCUUAUCCUUAGUAGCCAGCAGUUCGGCUGGGCACUCUAGGGAGACUGCCAGGGAUAACCUGGAGGAAGGUGGGGAUGAUGUCAAAUCAUCAUGCCCCUUAUGACUUGGGCUACACACGUGCUACAAUGGCGUAAACAAAGUGAAGCGAGAGUGUGAGCUUAAGCAAAUCACAAAAAUAACGUCUCAGUUCGGAUUGUAGUCUGCAACUCGACUACAUGAAGCUGGAAUCGCUAGUAAUCGCAGAUCAGAAUGCUGCGGUGAAUACGUUCCC